rnacentral:lncRNA from 1 species
UAGAUUAACUCAAUAAAUUUCAUUCACUCCGCAUACUCAAUCCUAUAGACGCCCUUUUAAUCCUUCAAUCACAGACGUAACUCGAUUUCAUAAAACAGUCAAGAGUAUUCAAACCCACUUCAUUAAAAAUCUCGAUUCACCAUUACAAUACUGACUUCAGCAGCGAUUGCCUCAGCCUUCCCAAAACUCUACGAAGAAGAAAAAUCCAAAUUCUCUAUCUUUCCUUC